rnacentral:rRNA from 1 species
UACGGGGGGGACAAGCGUUGUUCGGAAUUACUGGGCGUAAAGGGGACGUAGGCGGCCAACUAAGUCCGACGUGAAAUCCCAAGGCUUAACCUUGGAACUGCGUCGGAUACUGGAUGGCUUGAAUUCGGGAGAGGGAUGCAGAAUUCCAGGUGUAGCGGUGAAAUGCGUAGAUAUCUGGAGGAAUACCGGUGGCGAAGGCGGCAUCCUGGACCGACAUUGACGCUGAAAGCCGAAAGCUAGGGGAGCAAACGGG